CAGGAAACCGCAUCACUUCCCUUGUUUGUCCCCACCGCCCAGCAGCCUGGAGACAUUUAGGCCGUAAGUCAAGCGUUUUAUAUCCAGAAAGAGAGAAGGCGGCUUCCCUGGACUCAUCGCUCUGAUUUAUAAAGUCAGCGGAUUCUGCGAAGCUCGAGGCCCCAUGUACCUAGGGCAUGUGGCAUUGGGCACGAAGUGUGGCACAGCUCGACUCUGAGUCCUGAGGGAGUUGGGACAGGUG
rnacentral:lncRNA from 1 species